UACGAAGGGGGCUAGCGUUGCUCGGAUUGACUGGGCGUAAAGGGCGCGUAGGCGGUUUGUACAGUCAGACGUGAAAUCCCAGAGCUCAACUCUGGAACUGCCUUUGAUACUGGGUGUCUUGAGUCCGGAAGAGGUGAGUGGAAUUCCGAGUGUAGAGGUGAAAUUCGUAGAUAUUCGGAGGAACACCAGUGGCGAAGGCGGCUCACUGGUCCGGUACUGACGCUGAGGUGCGAAAGCGUGGGGAGCAAACAGG
rnacentral:rRNA from 1 species